rnacentral:lncRNA from 1 species
GGCUCAUCCACGAGAGCAUCAGGCUCGACCCCGGCACCGUUAUUGCCUUCUUUUCUCCAUUCUAUGCUAGCCCCUCGACCUCAUCCUCGGUAAUGGCCACAGACUCCACCUCCAGGUAGUUGGCGCCGGCCACCACAUAGAGGCUCCUUUCCUUUUCUUGCUCACGUGUUUAACUCCCAGGAAUCAAUUCUUUCUAUUUUUCUCCGGGUGGCGUUUGAUUAGGUGCGCAUCAGGGACUCGCAGGAUCGAAAAAAAAAAGCUAUAAUUUUACAUCAGAAAUUCUUUCUUAUUCUUUAAUUUUCUUUUACACCUUUCCACUUCAGGUUUAUAUAUUCUAUCUCUUUUGUACAUUUACAUCAGAAAUCCUUACUUAUUUUUUAUUUCUUUUUACACCCUUCCACCUCCUAAGCAGAGCUAUAAUUUUACAUCAGAAAUCCUUUCUUAUUCUUUAAUUCUUUUACACCCUUCCAACUUCACAUUUAUAUAUUAUUUCUCUGUUGUACAUUUGCAUCAGAAAUCCUUACUUAUUCUUUAUUUAUUUUUAUAACCUUCCACCUCCUAAGCACAGGUUGUGGGAUCGCACGGGGACGUGGAGGCGACCCAAAAAAUUAUUUUGUAUCAUCUGAUGAUCUUACUUACUUUUGUUCUUUUUAGUUAUAUAUAUAUAGGAGAAUAUGUGGUUUUAUGUUUAGUAAUAAAAAUAUUUAAUAUAAACAAGUUCCACCAAAACAAGAAUACCAUAAAUAUAUCGGUUGUACAGUCCCCUCUCGUUUCAUUUCAGAAGCGGAAAAAAGCUGCUACUUUACUAGCAAAUGAUUGUACCUGUUCAUA